UAUAUAAAUAUCCUGGGAUAUUAUUUCUCUAGAUCUAUGUAACAAGCAUGUAGGUUAUAUAAGGGGAUAAGUAUCCCCGUUUAUUAUUUCUUUUUCAAAUCUGUCGAUUGUAAUUCCAUGUCUGAUUAUAAAUUUCAAUUUCAGUUUCAAUUCUAUGUCUUUAUAUUUAUGUAACUGUUCUAUUGAAAUCCAAUUUGGUUGAUCGAGUUCUCAUCAGAUUAGGGGAAAGAUUAAUUGAAUUUUAGUAACCAUGAUAUUAAAGAGAAGCAAUUUGACCACAUAUCAGAUAUCACUAUAAAAGAGACAAUGGUUGCAGAAGGAGAGACAGACAAAGACAGCGAGAGAAGCAAGUAU